CGGGGCAGGGUGAGUCGACCCCUAAGGCGAGGCCGAAAGGCGUAGUCGAUGGGAAACGGGUUAAUAUUCCCGUACUUGGUGUUACUGCGAAGGGGGGACGGAGAAGGCUAUGUUGGCCGGGCGACGGUUGUCCCGGUUUAAGCGUGUAGGUGUGUGUUCCAGGUAAAUCCGGUUCACUUUAACACUGAGGCGUGAUGACGAGGCACUACGGUGCUGAAGCAACAAAUGCCCUGCUUCCAGGAAAAGCCUCUAAGCAUCAGGUAACAUCAAAUCGUACCCCAAACCGACACAGGUGGUCAGGUAGAGAAUACCAAGGCGCUUGAGAGAACUCGGGUGAAGGAACUAGGCAAAAUGGUGCCGUAACUUCGGGAGAAGGCACGCUGACACGUAGGUGAAGUGAUUUACUCAUGGAGCUGAAGUCAGUCGAAGAUACCAGCUGGCUGCAACUGUUUAUUAAAAACACAGCACUGUGCAAACACGAAAGUGGACGUAUACGGUGUGACGCCUGCCCGGUGCCGGAAGGUUAAUUGAUGGGGUCAGCGCAAGCGAAGCUCCUGAUCGAAGCCCCGGUAAACGGCGGCCGUAACUAUAACGGUCCUAAGGUAGCGAAAUUCCUUGUCGGGUAAGUUCCGACCUGCACGAAUGGCGUAAUGAUGGCCAGGCUGUCUCCACCCGAGACUCAGUGAAAUUGAACUCGCUGUGAAGAUGCAGUGUACCCGCGGCAAGACGGAAAGACCCCGUGAACCUUUACUAUAGCUUGACACUGAACAUUGAGCCUUGAUGUGUAGGAUAGGUGGGAGGCUUUGAAGCGUGGACGCCAGUCUGCAUGGAGCCGGCCUUGAAAUACCACCCUUUAAUGUUUGAUGUUCUAACGUGGACCCGUGAUCCGGGUUGCGGACAGUGUCUGGUGGGUAGUUUGACUGGGGCGGUCUCCUCCUAAAGAGUAACGGAGGAGCACGAAGGUUGGCUAAUCCUGGUCGGACAUCAGGAGGUUAGUGCAAUGGCAUAAGCCAGCUUGACUGCGAGCGUGACGGCGCGAGCAGGUGCGAAAGCAGGUCAUAGUGAUCCGGUGGUUCUGAAUGGAAGGGCCAUCGCUCAACGGAUAAAAGGUACUCCGGGGAUAACAGGCUGAUACCGCCCAAGAGUUCAUAUCGACGGCGGUGUUUGGCACCUCGAUGUCGGCUCAUCACAUCCUGGGGCUGAAGUAGGUCCCAAGGGUAUGGCUGUUCGCCAUUUAAAGUGGUACGCGAGCUGGGUUUAGAACGUCGUGAGACAGUUCGGUCCCUAUCUGCCGUGGGCGCUGGAGAACUGAGGGGGGCUGCUCCUAGUACGAGAGGACCGGAGUGGACGCAUCACUGGUGUUCGGGUUGUCAUGCCAAUGGCACUGCCCGGUAGCUAAAUGCGGAAGAGAUAAGUGCUGAAAGCAUCUAAGCACGAAACUUGCCCCGAGAUGAGUUCUCCCUGAGACUUAGAGUCUCCUGAAGGAACGUUGAAGACGACGACGUUGAUAGGCCGGGUGUGUAAGCGCAGCGAUGCGUUGAGCUAACCGGUACUAAUGAACCGUGAGGCUUAACCUUACAACGCCGAAG
rnacentral:rRNA from 1 species